rfam:Labrenzia alexandrii DFL-11 scf_1101159010753 genomic scaffold, whole genome shotgun sequence.
UUUCCCCUCGGGAUUGCUCAGGUCCGCCGCAUCUCCUGGGUCCGUGGGGUAGGUCGGCAGGGAACCGGUCGAAGAGUGGCCUCCUCGAAUACCGUGUUCCCGCCGACCACUAA